UACGUAGGGGGCAAGCGUUGUCCGGAAUCAUUGGGCGUAAAGCGCACGUAGGCGGAUUGCUAAGUCAGGGGUGAAAUCCUGGAGCUCAACUCCAGAACUGCCUUUGAUACUGGCGACCUUGAGUCCGGGAGAGGUGAGUGGAACUGCGAGUGUAGAGGUGAAAUUCGUAGAUAUUCGCAAAGAACACCAGUGGCGAAGGCGGCUCACUGGCCCGGUACUGACGCUGAGGUGCGAAAGCGUGGGGAGCAACAGG
rnacentral:rRNA from 1 species